rnacentral:misc_RNA from 1 species
AAAAUGCGAUAAGUAAUGUGAAUUGCAGAAUUCAGUGAAUCAUCGAAUCUUUGAACGCACAUUGCACCCGCCAGUAUUCUGGCGGGCAUGCCUGUUCGAGCGUCAUUUCAACCCUCAAGCCCCCGGGUUUGGUGUUGGGGAUCGGGCUGCGGUUCUACCGCGUCCCGGCCCCGAAAUCUAGUGGCGGUCUCGCUACAGCCUCCAUUGCGUAGUAGCUAACACCUCGCAACUGGAACGCGGCGCGGCCAAGCCGUUAAACCCCCAACUUCUGAAUGUUGACCUCGGAUCAGGUAGGAAUACCCGCUGAACUUAAGC